AUACUUACCUGGCAGGGGAGACACCAUGAUCACCAAGGUGGUUCUCCCAGGACGAGGCUAUCCCAUUGCACUUCGGGUGUGCUGACGCCUGCGAUGUCCCCAAAUGCGGGAUACUCGACUGCAAAAUUUGUGGUAGUGGGGGACUGCGUUCGCGCUCAUUGUCCCCAC